UACGGGGGGGGCAAGCGUUGUUCGGAAUUACUGGGCGUAAAGGGCUCGUAGGCGGCCAACUAAGUCAGACGUGAAAUCCCCAGGCUCAACCUGGGAACUGCGUCUGAUACUGGAUGGCUUGAAUCCGGGAGAGGGAUGCAGAAUUCCAGGUGUAGCGGUGAAAUGCGUAGAUAUCUGGAGGGAUACCGGUGGCGAAGGCGGCAUCCUGGACCGGCAUUGACGCUGAGGAGCGAAAGCCAGGGGAGCAAACGGG
rnacentral:rRNA from 1 species